ensembl:lncRNA
CCCCUCCUCCUUGUGACCGGAGCCUGGCAGACAGUGCUUGCCUGUUUGACCAGGAUCCUCCGGGUUCAGCUGCCAGUGGACAGGGGCCCAUCCUAAACCGGGGGGUAGUGGGGACAGUGGUUAGGGGCAAGGCCCUCGAGUCAGACCCGUCUAGCUUCCCAGCUCUGUGAUCUCAUUUCUCUGAGCCUCUGUUUUCUCAUCUGUAAAAUGGGAGUGGUUGCUGUGAAGAUUAAACAUCAUUAAAUAACACGACCUGGGUAAAGCAUUUAGCACGUUGACUAGCACUUAGCAUAUUCACUAGCUGGAGACUCACUUAAGAGGCCAAAAUAGUUACUGGGGCAUUUACUAUGUGCCAGGUGUUUUCAAAGCAUUCUACACCUAUUCAUUCAUUUAAUAACACCCUCCCUACUUGAGAAAAUCGAGGUACAUGGAGAGACCAAAUGCAUUAGACACACAGAGCCUGAUGCAUGUUUUUCAGGCUGUCAGUAGCGCUUACACAAUACUGGGGGAUCCCUUUAAGAAAAAGAAUAGAAAGUUAUGAAUAUAAAAUAAGGUACAAGGCCAUGCAAGUGAAAGACCUGAGGCUUAAGCCUCACCUUAAGUCUCCCUCUAAGCUCUAGACCACCCUGCUAGCAAGUAGCUGAGCCCAGGUGGCCAGCUCCAGAACCCACGGUUGGUAUAAACGCAGUCCUGCUGGUAGGCAAGGCAGUCACUGCAGAAUGCCAUACAAGAGGCCAGCAAACAAGAGGCAGCUCUUCCCAUGUGCUAGCCACGUGCCACACACUCUUCUAAUCUAACCCUCCAACGACCCAGUGAAGUGAGCGCAUUAUUACCAUCCCCUUCCACAGAUGAGAAGAAUGCGGCUCAGAGAGGACCAGUGACUUGCCUGAGGGCAGAGCAGGAUUCAAACCCAGGCAGCCUGACUUCGGAAGCCUUAUGUUCACAAUAACUGUUACUUUUCUCAUCCCUGGGGAUCAGAGCCUCCUGUUACUCCUCACCUCGCUUUGCAGGUCCUUCGCCUCUUACCCAACGGCAGCUUGGGCCUUUCCCUGGAAGAUGCUGGGUCUUCAUCUGCUCCCACGUCUGGAGGUACAGCACAGACAGCUCUUGAAGAAAUGGAUGUCUAAUGGGUACUUUGAAGAGGACCUCACUCUACUCUGUUCCUGGGCUCCCAUCACCAUGAAUGCUGUCCCUAUCCACCUCAAGCUCCAGAGACAGAAAAUUCAGUCAUCUUUACCUUCUCUCCUUAAAUCAUUCUACUGAAUAUUCUGCUGUUCUGUUCUGGAAAGGUUUCACCCAUCUGUCCCUUCUCCCACCCUCUUGCCAUUGCCUUAGCUCAGGCCACCUUCAACUCAAGGCAACGGCUUCAGUCUGUCCUCUCUUCCCUCUUCUUGCCUUUAAAUAUCCUCUACACCUACCACAGGGAUCUUUCUAGAACCCCCACCUGACUACAUCGUUCCCCUGUUGCAAAGCCUUCAUAUACACUCAUCAACCUCAGGAUAGAGUCUGAGCUCCCUAGGGAGGCACUGGUGGAGAAGGAAAUGGCAACCCACUCCAGUAUCCUUGCCUAGAGAAUCCUGUGGAUGGAGGAGCCUGGUGGGCUGCUGUCCAUAGGGUCUCACAGAGUCAGACACGACUGAAGCGACUUAGCAGCAGCAGCAGCAGCAGCAGGAAAGCACUGGAAGCCCUGCCCAACUUGUCUUCAUCUGAACCUCCCUCCUUCCUGCCCUGCAUUUCAGCCACAUUUCAUGUCCUUUCCCUGAACACACUACACACUUUCUCAUCCCUGGAUUUUUCUGCUAUAAUUUGUCUCUGACUGCGAUAUACUUCCCUUUCUCCCCAUGGGAGCUAUAACCAUUCCUUAAAGAGUCCUCUCAAGGCUGACUCCUCGGGAAGUCUUCCUCCCUGCCUCACCCCAGCGAGCCAACUUCCUCCCUCCUUUGUGCUCCCAGAACACCUUUGCCUCUUGGCUAACUGGACCCUGAAGCCUCCUGAUUGUAGGAUCUCCCUCCGCACCCUUGUCCCAGCAUGGCAUGACAUGGUGGGCUCCAGGAGUGAAGAUCAAGUCCAGUGGCCUUUCUCAUGGGGACCCUCGGUGACUCACUGCCUAAAUCUAGUUUGCUUCUUGACCAAUCCAAGACCCUUUAAGACAAAAUUUUAAUUUUUUUCUUUUUUGGAUGUAGACAGCACUUCACAGUUUACAAGUGUUUCCAGGUUUAUUUUCUCGUUCCAUGGUCUUUACCCCUCUGUGGAUUGUCAGGGAC